UACAGAGGUCUCAAGCGUUGUUCGGAUUCAUUGGGCGUAAAGGGUGCGUAGGUGGCGAGGUAAGUCUGGUGUGAAAUCCCGGGGCUCAACCCCGGAACUGCACUGGAUACUGCCCUGCUAGAGUACUGGAGAGGAGAUUGGAAUUUACGGUGUAGCAGUGAAAUGCGUAGAUAUCGUAAGGAAGACCAGUGGCGAAGGCGAAUCUCUGGACAGUUACUGACACUGAGGCACGAAGGCCAGGGGAGCAAACGGGAUUAGAAACCCCCGUAGUCC
rnacentral:rRNA from 1 species